rnacentral:tRNA from 1 species
GCCUGGGUGUCUCAGUCGGUUGAGUAUCCGACUUCAGCUCAGGUCAUGGUCUCACGGUUUGUGGGUUCGAGCCCCACAUCGGGCU